rnacentral:rRNA from 1 species
UGCGUAGGCGGUGCGCCAAGUCGGGUGUGAAAUCCCUCGGCUUAACCGAGGAACUGCAUUCGAUACUAGCGUGCUAGAGGGUGAAAGGGGCAAGCGGAAUUCUAGGUGUAGCGGUGGAAUGCGUAGAUAUCUGGGAGAACGCCGAGGGCGAAGGCAGCUUGCUGGGUCACUUCUGACGCUGGGGCACGAAAGCUAGGGGAGCAAACA